AUUGAACGCUGGCGGCAGGCCUAACACAUGCAAGUCGAGCGGAGCGGCGGACGGGUGAGUAAUGCCUGGGAAUCUGCCUGCUAGUGGGGGAUAACGUCCGGCAACGGGCGCUAAUACCGCACACUAUCAGAUGAGUCUAGGUGGGAUUAGUUAGUUGGUGGGGUAAGGGCUUACCUAGGCGACGAUCCGUAUCUGGUCUGAGAGGAUGACCAGUCACACUGGAACGUAGACACGGUCCAGACUCCUACGGGAGGCAGCAGUGGGGAAUAUUGGACAAUGGGCGCAAGCCUGAUGCAGCCAUGCCGCGUGUGUGAAGAAGGUCUUCGGAUUGUAAAGCACUUUAAGUUGGGAGGCGUUACCAACAGAAUAAGCACCGGCUAACUACGUGCCAGCAGCCGCGGUAAUUC
rnacentral:rRNA from 1 species